rnacentral:rRNA from 1 species
CGGGAUAACAUUCUGAAAAGAUGCUAAUACCGCAUGACAUAUCGGAACCACAUGGUUCUGAUAUCAAAGAUUUUAUCGCUUGAAGAUGGACUCGCGUCCGAUUAGUUAGUUGGUGAGGUAACGGGCUCACCAAGACCGCGAUCGGUAGCCGGACUGAGAGGUUGAACGGCCCACAUUGGGACUGAGACACGGCCCCAGACUCCUACGGGGAGGGCAGCAGUGGGGGGAUAUUGCGCAAAUGGGGGGCAACCCCUGACGCAGCAAACGCCGCGUGAAGGAUGAAGGUUUUUCGGAUUGUAAACUUCUUUUAUUAAGGACGAAAAAUGACGGUACUUAAUGAAUAAGCUCCGGCUAACUACGUGCCAGCAGCCGCGGUAAUACGUAGGGAGCAAGCGUUGUCCGGAUUUACUGGGUGUAAAGGGUGCGUAGGCGGCUUUGCAAAGUCAGAUGUGAAAUCUAUGGGCUCAAACCCAUAAACUGCAUUUGAAACUGUAGAGCUUGAGUGAAGUAGAGGCAGGCGGAAUUCCCCGUGUAGCGGUGAAAUGCGUAGAGAUGGGGAGGAACACCAGUGGCGAAGGCGGCCUGCUGGGCUUUAACUGACGCUGAGGCACGAAAGCGUGGGUAGCGAACGAGGAUUAGAUACCCUGGUAGUCCGCGCUGUA